AUUUAUUUAUUUUUGGUCAAUUGAUAUACAUUGAAAUUCAGUAUGGCACCUGUGCCUGUUGUGGCUUAAUAGGAUAAUAUAACAAAGUCCUGUAUAUCAUUCCAUACAUUACAAGGAUAUAUGAAUGUGAUCUAUGUUCCAAAUCAUGAAAUUCACACAAGUCUGUACUAUACAACUUACACAUAGUUGGAUGCCAAGAUCAACUUAAGAGAUACAAGAUGUG